UACGUAGGGCGCAAGCGUUGUCCGGAAUUAUUGGGCGUAAAGAGCUCGUAGGCGGUUGUCGCGUCUGCUGUGAAAACCUAAGGCUCAACCUUGGGCUUGCAGUGGGUACGGGCAGACUAGGGUGCGGUAGGGGUGACUGGAAUUCCUGGUGUAGCGGUGGAAUGCGCAGAUAUCAGGAGGAACACCGAUGGCGAAGGCAGGUCACUGGGCCGCAACUGACGCUGAGGAGCGAAAGCAUGGGGAGCGAACAGG
rnacentral:rRNA from 1 species